UUAAGGAUCUUAUUAUUAUUAUUAUUAUAUUUUGAAAUUAUUCUUUAUUUUAUUAUUUAUUUUGAACAAAGGAUUUUUAUUAUAGUGAAUUAGUAAAGUGGUUGAAAUUAUGAAUUAAUUAUUAUUUUUAAGAAAGAAGAUUUUAUUUUUUGUACCUUGUGUAUCAGGGUUGAUUUAAUAUAAUUUAUUUAUUUAAAUUUCCCGAAUUAAGAAGAGCUAUGAAAAUAUUUAUUUGAUUGUUUCAUAAAUUUUUAUAAUAUUUUUGUAGUAAUGAAACGUUAUUCGUUUCUUAAUAUAUCUGGUUUUUUAAGAAAAGAAUUUAAUUCUAUUAUUUUUUAUUAAAGAUUAUUUUUUUAAUUUUUAUAUUAAAAUAUUAAAUAUUUUUAGGGAUGAGCUUAAAAAUAUAAUACUAAAAGAUUUUAUGUUUUGUUUAAUUAGUAUAAUUAGAAUUGUUAAACUUUAGAAUAAUUUUAUAGUUAUUUUUGCUUGAAUUUUAUUUUUAUUUUUUUUAGUUUUUAUAUUAAAAUAUUUUUAAUAAUUUUGUUUGAUUAGUAAUAUUGAUUAAAUUAGUAAAUUUUGAUUGUAUUUUUAUUUAUAGUUGUUAGGUUGAAAGAAGGAAUUCGGCAAAAAUGUUUUUCGCCUGUUUAAUAAAAACAUGUCCUUUUGAUUAUAAUUUAAGGUCUGACCUGCUCAAUGAGUAAUUAAAUUGCCGCGGUAUUUUGACCGUGCAAAGGUAGCAUAAUAAUUAGUUUUUUUAUUGAAAGCUGGAAUGAAUGGUUGGACGAGAGAACUACUGUCUCUUUUCAAUUUUAUUUUUAAUUUAACUUUUAAGUUAAAAGGCUUAAAUUUUUUUUAAAGACGAGAAGACCCUAUAGAGUUUUACAUUUCUUAGUUUAUUUUCUUUUUGGUAUUUAAAAUGUUUUAAUUUAAGAUUUGUUUGGUUGGGGUGACCAGAAGAUUGGAUAAACUCUUCUAUUUAAAUCAAUGAUUUUUGAAUUGAUAAUCUAGAUUUUCUAAAUUUAAGAUAAAUUACCUUAGGGAUAACAGCGUAAUUUCUUUUUAGAGUUCUUAUUGAAAGAG
rnacentral:rRNA from 1 species